AUCGCUUCUCGGCCUUUUGGCUAAGAUCAAGUGUAGUAUCUGUUCUUAUCAGUUUAAUAUCUGAUACGUCCCCUAUCUGGGGACCAUAUAUUAAAUUGAUUUUUGGAACUGGGAGAUGGAAGAGGGGCUUGCUCCGUCCACUCCACGCAUCGACCUGGUAUUGCAGUACCUCCAGGAACGGUGCACUCCCC